CUGUCGUGCCUAUAAGAACCUAGCAUUCUGCCACAGAAGCUUCCGGACCUUUCUGGUGACUACUCUGCAUCUUGACCAUCCAGUAGUUGCCGCUGUCCAACAUGCGACACCAUGUGGGUGGGGUUCCUUUACUUGGCAUUUGAAAUGGAGGGGGCUGGUUUCUGCCCUUUACUUCCUUCUGCCAUGUUCCUAGGAGUCCUCAUCCUUGCGUGUUCAUUCAGAGGUACCUAGGUCUCCCCUACCAACUGCAGGAAGCUGCCCAGAGACCCAAACUACCAUGCCCCCCUUUCCUGACUCUGAACACGGGUGACCCUGACCUCAGGCCUCAGAGCAGUUGACAGCUUAGACCUAGGAGGCCACCCUUGACUGAGCCCUGCAGGCCACAGGGAGCCACAGCAAGUGUUCUUGCUCUCCACACAGAUUGGCUCAUUUCCUCUCAAUUCAUGUGGUGCUAUCCCAAGGUGUACACAGGUGACUGUAGCCUCAUGUGGUCCCCAUGAGGACCCAGGUGAAGCCCCAUAUAGGCUGAGCCUCAAGUCUCAGAGGAACCUUCAAAGUCAUGCAACCCUGAAGGCUCUUCCUCUGGACAAGCCAUUUUUCCCAUUUUUCCUCCUGUAGACUAUGUGGGCUCCUCACUUCCUGUCUCCUCUUUGUAAAACAGGAAGUUUCCCCUCCUCUUUCUGGCCAUAAUGACGCUUCAUUAAGCAUCUAUCUAUAGCUGCCUCCUUGGAUCAAGGUAAAUGAAGUCGGUGUUGAGUAAUUCUUACAGCAAACAACAUCUUCCCUUCUUUAACGUGAUUCACAGAGUUCUUAUUUUCCUAAAUCCUGGGAACAGAGUGGUUGUGCGCUGAUGGCCUCUGACACUGGUGCCACUGACCCUGGCUACACACACAAAUGGAUCUUGGAUCAGAAAUUCUCUCCCAGAACAGGUUACAGGGUAGAAAUUAUACAAAGACUCAGAGAUCCUCACACUCCUGAUAUUCAUCAUGAGAGUGGACAAAGGGUGAUUUCUGAAAAUUUUAGUUUAUUCAUAUAAACAUCUCUUUUAAAAUUUAUUUUGCAUAUAAGCAUCUAUUAAUCCAUUGCCACUGUAAAGUUUCUUCUCUUGCCUGGGAAGUUGUGAAGUCAGAAUGGAGAGCAGUCUUUGUCUUUGGGAUGAGGGGAGCCUUACCACACCAUCCACUCCACUCCAACAUGGGAGGCCAUUGAUCAUUGUCCCACAGGACAGGUUUGGCUAGGAGCUCCAGUCUGCGUAGGAUACAUGGAAGCGUCCACAACCCUGUGGGUAUUUUGAAUGGACAACAUGACCCCCACAUGUUGCCGAUUGUCUCAUGUUGGAAACAGAUGUUGUGUAGAGAACAAAAGGCUUGUUUGGAGCAAUGUUAGUGAAACAAGAGAGGUGGGAUUGCCCAUACUUACUCUUAGGAGACCUGGGCUCAGCCAGCCCAGGGAACAGCUGAGCUCAGAUGGCUGCAAGGAGAGCCCUGCCUUAGCCACAGCAAGCCAGGCCCUGCACUCCUGCUGGACCUGUCCUUGGCCUGGCUGGCUGCCUUGAGAAGAACGGGAUGGAGCAAUGUCUCACUCUCCUUAUCCCCUAUCUAGCAGAAUCCAGCGCUUUUCAGGCUGAGGCAGGCUUUUCAGACUUGCUCCCUGCAGGUUCUUUGGCAAGGUCUGGAAACACUGGUCAUAGUAACCUGGCAGCUUCCAUUAGUUUCGGGUGAGAAGGGUCAGAGGUGCAGGAGAGCUUAGCUUACAUUCUUACAGCAAGUUGAUGAUAUCCCAUGGGAAAGGACUCUCAGAUUCUGUUCGUAGUGUCAAUGCUACAAAAACCUUCUCCAGCCUCUUAUGAUGGAUCUGAAGCUGCAAUGAUCCACCCUUUACCGUGGAGCCGUCUCCUAAUAGAAACUGUUGGUUAUGGCUUAAAUGUAAAAUUGACCCCUCUCCAGGUUCAUGUGUUUGAAUGAUUGGUUGGCCCUGUUUAAGGAGGAUACAGAUCAUUUAGGAGUUGAAGGGCGUGGGGCACUGGGGGUGGGGUGUGUUGUGGGUUGUAUCCUGACCUCGGUUUGUGGCCAGCUCUCUCUGCUUCCUGAUCCUCCAGGAUAUCAGGACGUCACCCACCAUCAUGCCUUGCCCACUGUUUCCUCUCAAAUCAAGAGUCAGAAUGAAUCCUUUCACCCUUAAGUAGCCCUUGUCAGGCAUUUGGUCAUAGUGAUGAUGAAAGAAACUAAGAUACUGUUCUUGAUAUGCUUGUUUGGAAAUAGUUCACAAUUCAGAAAAUGCUGACUUUCCCAGAAUGUCACCAAUCUCUUAGCCUUUGGACAUAUCCAACCUAUAGCCCACAGGGCAGGUAUAUCCCAGAACUAUGAAUGAGAUCCAACAUACUUGUAAAUGACAGUGUCAUAGUGUAAGGGUUGGACACCCCUGUGAGGUGACCUGGAAGUAUACAUCUGUCUUCGAGAGAUGACAGUAGACUUGAGAAGCCAUCUAGAUAAUCUCAAAAGUGGCUAUAUAUGGCAUUGCUUCUUUCUGGACUACCAGCCCCUUGAGUACGGGACUACAGAGUGCUUAGUUUAACCAUCAAAUACUCUUCCUCUCUCUGUCCUCCUCCCAUUACACACACACACACACACACACACACGCACACGCACACGCACACACGCACACACACACACACGCACACACACGCACACAUACACACAUGCACACACACACGCACACACACGCACUUUAAAUAGGCAAGAACUUAGACUCUAAGCCAGUGGUUUUCAACCUUCCUAAUGCUGUGACCCUGUAAUACAGAGCUCUUCAUAUUGUAGUGACCCCCCCCCAUUAUAAAAUUCUUUCAUUGCUGCUUCAUAACUGUAGUUUUGCUACUGUAAAUAUCUGAUGUGGGAGAUGUCUGAUAUACAACACACAAAGGGGUCGUGACCCACACAGGUUGAGAACCUCUGCUGAGCACCACAGGUCUCUCAGUUGAAGACAAUUUUCUAAUUUAAACAUUGAUGCUUCUAAAACCCCAAGAAGUUACCCUCCACCUUAUCAUGUUCUGGUGGAUAACAUCUAUUACGGCUUGAGUGUAAAACGUCCCCACAGGGUCAAGUGUUUGUAUGCCGGGUUCCCAGGAUGCAGCACCAGCCCCUGUUCUGAGCGACUGUGGAAGCCUAAAGAGACAGGCAUGGCUAUAGAAGGUAGAUUGCCUUAGCUUAUCAGCUUUAUUGAUUAUAACAUGGCUCUAGAUUGGAGCUGAUUUUUUUUUAAAGCAUCUGGAAGCUUUGUAGGCACACAUCAUUGAGCCCCACACUAAUUUCAGCUCCAAGAGGUCUGAGAAAAUGAGGAGAGGUGUGACAAGUUGUUUUUUGGUUUUGGUGGUGGUGGUGGUUUGUGUGUGUGGUGUGUGUGUGUGUGUGUGUGUGUGUGUGUGUGUGUGUGUGUGUAGUGAUGCUGUGCUGUGGUGUAUACCUGAAGGUUAGAGGAUAAUUCUGGAAAGCCUGUUCUCUCUUUCCCCCAGGUUCCAGGUAUUGAACUCAUGUCAUCAGGCUUGGUGGCAAAUGCCUUUAUCCCCUGAGCCAUCUCACUGGCCCCUAUAAUUUGUAUUUCUCGUGGGUACAUUGGUUAUGAUUGUACUGCUGUUCUGACUGCCCUGUCUAAAGGUGGCGCUCAAGGGUGGUGGUGUGCACAGUGCCGUCUGGAGAGCUUGGUAAAUAUAAAGAAUGCUGUGUGCACUUACCCACUGGAUUCUCAUUCUGUAGAUGUGAAUGUGGCCUUCUCCCCACAGUCCAGUAAUUCUAGUGCAUGCUGCGAAGUUUAAGAGCCAUCUCUCUAGGCGUCCCGUAACAGGGUAGAACAGUUGUUUUCCAGUGUGACCUGCAUAGUCAGCCACUCUUACUGAAACCCAAGGGUUGAUUGAGCCAGCCUUACCUGGCACCAGAGAAUCUGUGUUUCCACCUUGUUCCCAGGGAUAAAGCUACAGAUGUAGCUCAGUGGGUAGAGUGCUCACCUAGAAAACAUGAAGCCAUAGUCUCAGUCUUCAGUACCCAGGAGAUAAAGGCAGGAAGAUUGAACAUUCAAGGUCAUCUCUGGUAUACAGGGUCAGGCACCAUAGUUUGAUGGGAAGAGCUAUACCAGCAGUGCUUAACCAGUGCUGAUUUUUUUUUUUUUUUUUUUUUUUUUUUUUUUGCCCCAACCUGGCAAAAUCAAGGACAUUUCCAGCAACUACAGGUAGAAUCUGGAAGUGCCACUGGCAUCUCAUAGCAACACACCCCACUGUGCAAGGCAGAAUGAACUCAUCAAAAAUUGCCUAUAUUUGAGAUGGGGAAGUCCUUAUGUGGAAAAGGCAUUGAUAAGCUGGCCAGCCUCCGAAAGGGAGCCGGGCUGGUCAGCACAGACUUUUGGGAUCACUGAGAUGCAGCCCAUUAGCCCAUAGUAUGUUUCACACUGAGGUCUGAUAACCACUGAGGCCACACCCUUCUCCUGACACCUCCUGUCCUUCGGUUUCAUUGUUUCUCUGUAGCCCAUGCUGCUGGCCAAAUGCAUGUCCUGUGUCCGUGUCUUAUGUAUGUUCCGUGUCCCGUAUUAGAAUGUAGAUGCCAGACUUCUGUUUGUUUGUGUCAUCUCCUCCCUAUGGACAGCUCCUAGACUCACAAUUCUCAACCUAUGGGUUGAGACUACCCCCCCCUCAAAAAAAAAACCGGGGUUUGAACAGCCCUUUCACAGGAGUCCUGUGCCAGCUAUCCUGCAUACCAGAUAUGUACAUUACAGUAGGAAAAUUGCAGUUAUGAGAUAGCAACAAAAGUAAUGUUAUGAUUGGGGUCGCUACGACCAUGAGGAGCUGUGUGAAAGGGUCACAUCCUUAGGAAAGUUGAGAAUGGCUGAUCUAGUCAAUGCUUGACGUGAGGAGAUGCUCAGUACAGAGUCAUUAUAUGGAUCUGCAGCGGUGACAUAAUGCUUCAGAGUGCUUGCUGCUCUCGCAGAAGGAUUGGUUCCCAGCACCCACACAUCUGUACAUUUGUCUGUUAACAUUUGUUUGUAAGUCUAGUCCUGGGGAUUGAUCCUAUGUUCCCUUCUGGCCUCUGUGGGCAUGCACCGCGCAGGUAGUGCACUAACAUACAUGCAGGCAAAACACUCAAACACCUUAAAUAAAAUAUUGUCUUAAGUUGCUAGAUGCAGGCGGGCGAGAUGACUCACCAGGUGAGGUCCCCUGCUGUCAGGUAUGAUAACCUGAAUUCCAUCACUGGGCUACACUGUGGUCAAGAAGAAUAACAAAAACCACUCUCGAAUUAUUCUCCCCUUCCCCCACUUGUAAACGCAUAUUGCAUGCAGACGUCUACCAUGCAAGCUCGCUGCACACACCUUGCAAUGGGCACGGUGUAGCCGCUGCUCAUUUUUCUUCCCUGUCACCUAUUCAGAGAAGGACAGCCAUUUCCUCUAAUAGACAAGGGGCUUCUGCUUCCCUUCGGGGACUAUUCAAGUAUCCUAAUUUCAGGAUAUCACAGAGAGAAUUGAAAACGAAAAUAAAUGUCCACAUCUCUCUUCCUUAAUUCUCUGCUUUUUCUUAUUCUGUUCUCCCUCUGCCUCAUUUCCAUCCAGAAAGUUCUUGCCCUGUAUUUUCUGAAAAUUAGAAAAUCAGACCCUUAAUUUGCGUGUCUGCAAGUGUUGGCGAGGGAGCCGGGGAGCGCAGAUUCAAAGCAGCCCUGUCAGAACACUCCAUUCUGCCAUCAGCGUGGGUCUUGCUCUCUUUGGAGAGGGGAGUGAUGCCAGAAUGCUCUCUAAUUAUACCCCCACCUUUCAUUCCUACAGAGCCUGGGACAGCUGAGAAACCAUUGUCCUUGCCUGAGAACCAGGAGGUCUUAUUUUGGGGAGACUUGUGCCACCCCCCAGGGUCGUGACCGUGUUGUCAGAACCUGUCUGGUUCAGGGGAAGCUAGAGAGGUCAGGCCCUCCUCCCUGGCUAGUUGGGAACAAAAGCCUGUGCACUAUACAGCAAGUCAUUUCUCCACAGUUUGCAUUUACUUUCCCUACUCCUCUGUCCUCUGCCCAGUGCUCUGAGCUAGGCUGUGACAUAGAUGGGUUAUUAAGGCAGGGAGCGAAGGGGGCACUCUUGAAUGUGGUUUGGUCCACACCCUCUCUUGAGACAGGUUGCUCUUUAAACUGGAUCUCCCUUGAAAAACUCCAGGAUGAAGAUGUAGACACUUUUAAGAGCUCCCCCAAUACACACAACCCAACACAGCGCCUUGUAAGUCCCUUGUCUGUAUCCAGGUGCUUUGGGACAGAUGGUGAUGGGACUCUAGCAAGUCAAGCAACGGAGAAUUUGUCAAAGACUGUUUGUUGGGAACUUACGUGAUGUACAUGAGGCACUGGAGGGAACCGUGCUGGGAUCCAGUGGACAAGUGGCAUUAUGGGGAUACCAGUGAUGCCAGUGUGGCCUUAGAAUGGGUGGAAUGACCAGACUUGUGCCCCAGAUCUCUCCCAGUCCAUCUCUCCCAGCCACAACCACCUACCUUAAAGCCCAGCGUAGACCCUAUCUGCAGCAGAGGCCAGAGAAAGAAUCCUAUUUCUGAUUGGGAAAUAUGUGUGCUUAAAGACAAAGAAUUCUGGAAGUGUCCAGUGUUGAGCCUGACCGUGCUACUGAUGAGGGUGGGGGAGGUGGCUCUAUCUGCCUCUUCUAUGUCAGAGUGGCCCUGAUGAUCUUGAAAGGCUAUUCCUCCCCAGCAGCCUGGUCUUCAGGAUUAUUAAAACACAUGAAGGCACGAUGUCUUCCUACAAUCCAUCUUCAGCUUCCAUUCAGGAAGAAUCAAGUCACUGUGAGCCUACAGCUCGUCCUUCUAUGAAAGAAACCCGGACUUCAUGCAAACUGUCCUCUCAGGCAUCCGGGGAGUGCUGGAUGCUGGCCUGAGUUUGGAUCCCCAGCAUCUACAUGAAGAUGGGGUAUAGUUCCCUAGUUCUGUAACCCAGUGCUAAAGGAGCAGAGACAAGCAGAUUCGUGGGGCUCCCUAACCAGCUCUUGCCAAAUCAAUGGACUCCAGAUUCAGUGAGUGAUCCUGUCUCAAAAAAGUAUGAUGAAAAGCAGCUAAAGAAGACACCCAGAGUCUACCCCUAGUUCAUCCCUACUACAUACACAGAAUAGCAGUCGCCCAACAGCUCCAAAGGGCUCUCCCUUGAUUCUCUACACCGUGGGGAGCAGGAAUUUUAGAGAAGAAAGAGAUAGAGACCAUAAAGGGUUCUUACUCUUCCUAUGGCCAUCACAGGCAGUAAUGAGCCAAGAUGGGGUUUUUAAAGCCCUGCUUCCACUCUUGGGGCUAAAGGGUGAGUCCUACUAACGAAGGCUAGAUUCUGUGAAUUCUUGAUCAUGGCUACAAGGCCCUGCACAUUUCCCUGGAUGUAAGCAAUGCUUCCAAGCUGUCAAAAUUGACCAGUGACUCACUCAGGAGACUAGAGUUGGGCUGGCUUGUGGAGUAGGAGUGGAAAGCAGGAAUUCUGAGAGGCGAUGACAGGCACCAAGGGACCCCAGGGAGCCAUCUGCAGAUCUUGGUGAUGACAAGUACCCAUCCUGAAUUCUGGGGGUCCUUCCCCAGGGUUCCCCCUAGGAAGGGUUAGAAAUCAGCUUUUCAACGACAUCAUACAGAAAGGGAGAUACUUGCAGGCCUCAGAAUUAUCAAGGGGGACCCCUGGAGCCUGUUUCCAUCUGGGAAGAGAUAUGAGGAAAUAGCCAGCCAGGCUUCGAAAGACCUGUGCCAUUUACUCAAAGGACUGCUAAGUGGUGACAGGAAACGCAGUAGUGACUGAAAACUAAGUGCUGGACAGGUGAGCAAAGGACAGAUCGUGGCAGGAAUAGUCCUGGGACUCUUGAUGUCCAUGAUACUAGUUUGUCUUUCAUAGAGGGUAUAUAGGUGGCUUGUCAUAACAGUAGACUCUGGAGACCCAGGGCUGGUGGGGAAGGGGAAUGGUGCUUGCCAUUGUUACUCUGAUGGACACAGGCUGUGUGACUCCGGUGGGUCACUUCCCCUCUCUGGCUCAGUCCAUCAUCUACUCAAAGAGGGGCUGACUGCAGCUCCAGUGGACCGCAGUCCUUCAUCAAAGCGUAGCUAAAGCCUUCUCUCUCUGCCUGGCCCUCAGCAAGGCUCCCGGAUUGUCACAGGAAACAGAAGAUGUGCACUGGCCUUGCCUUUGUUUGUUUGUUUUGUUUUGUUUGUUUGUUUGGUUUUUUGAGACAGGGUUUCUCUGUGUAACCCUGGCUGUCCUGAAACUCACUCUGUAGACCAGGCUGGCCUCAAACUCAGAAAUCCGCCUGCCUCUGCCUCCCAAGUGCUGAGAUUAAAGGCGUGUGCCAUCACGCCCGGCUGGCCUUGCCUUUUUAAGCUAUGUCACCAAGUGACCCCAAAUGUAUAGUGAUAGACUGGAUGAAUUGUGGUCACCACUGGGAGAUAGAUGCAGUUAUUUCACAGACUCCAUGUUUUACAGAGUUGGUGCAUACUAGCCACUCCCCUGCUCAUAUUCAGAUAUUAAAUUUAUUCAGGUGUAGUGAUGCCAAAAGAUCAGAAGUCAGUUACCAAUGAGUAGAUAAUUUGUAGCCAGGCACAGUAGCACACCCCUACAAUCUCAGGAAAACUAUGAGUUUGGAGCCAGCCUAGGCUACAUAACCAGUUACAAGGCCAGCUUUUGGCCGUGAGAAACCCUAAUCUCAAAAGACCAAGAAGAAAAAGGAACAACUCAGUCAGAGCUGGCCACAUAAUUGUGGGGGCUACAGUUGAUCUCCAGAACCCACAUUUUAAAAAGGCCAGAGAAGCAAACAUGGGUCCUCUGAAAGCGCAGCCAGUUGUUUCUAACCACCAAGCCACAUUCCCAGCCGCUGGAAUGGUAUCUUUAUCAUCCUUAUCAACACAUCAGGUAUAUCCAUCAUCCUUGAAAAUUCCAUGUUUUCCUCCCUGGCCACCCCACCCCACCCCUCUAAGAGAAUCACUGUUUUAUAGUUUAUCUUUGGGUUUCAUUUGCCUCAUUGGGAACGUCACGCACAUGGGUCCUACAAUGUCUGUGCCUCCCUUCCAGGCUACUUUGGCUCUGCAGAACUAUCCUGAGCCCCAGCCAAGUGGCUGUGCUUCAGAUGUGCGCUCAUUUUUGUGUAGCCAAAGACUCUCAAACCAUACGGAUUGACCCCAGUUUGUUUAUUCCUUUCUGAGGUUGAUGGGCACGUGGACUGGUUCCAGCUGGGAGCCUGUCUGAAUAAAGCCGCCUCAGACAUGUAUGUGCAUGUCUUAUGGUGGGUGUAUUAACCUUGUUUCUGAGUCAAUAGCUAAGACCUCUGGCUUGGGUAGCUUGGGUGACCCAAGGUCACAAGAACGGCACUUGAGUGUCAGAAGUCCUUAAGUGACCCACUCCCCACUAAGUCCCUCCAGCCCCCAAUCCUGUUAUUCCAGUACAGCUCAAAGGUAGCAUUUGAUAUUGUUAUAUUUGUUCAAACUAUGAGAACAUACACACAACAAAAUUCACGACUGCGAAUAAUAUGGCACAUGCCUUUAAUUCCAACGCUUGGGAUGGAGAAACUGGAGGAUUGCUGGUUUGAAGCCAACCUGUGUUACAUAGUGAAAAUGUGUCAACCUGUGUCAUAGUGAAAUAAGUUAAAGAGCCCAGAGAAGUGGCUCAGUGGUUACGAGUACUCACAACCAUGGGUAACUCCAGCCCCAGGAGAUCAAAAGCCUCUUCUGGCUUCCAGAGGCACCAGGCAUAUAUGGAUAUACACAAACUUGCAAGCAAAACAUGCUUAUGGGUUAAAUAAAUAAACCUAAACAAUAUUGAAAAGCAAAAGGAAGUUUAAACCCCACAGCGGGGUGUCCUGUCUUGGUUCACAGCUGGGAUUCCUCCAAGGAGUUGUCACCAUUGUCAUCUUUUCCAUCUUCUCAAACUGAAAGUCUCCCUUCCUCACCCCUGGCACCACCAGCAGCCACCACCACCACCAUGCCUCCAGCAGUCACCCCUCUCCUGCCCCCAUACCUCCAGCAGCCAACCCCACACACACACCCCAGCGCCCUCAGCAGCCACCACCUGGCUCAUCAUCUCAGUGAACUCCGUGGCUCUGGGUCCCUCCUAUACAGUGGACUCCUCUGGGAUUUUCAUUUUGUAUUUUGUAUCUCUCUUACUUAACUUAACAUAGUGUAGAAAUCCCCAGGCUCAGAAGUCAGGAUUCUUUUCCCUUUUUAGACUCAAAAGAUAUCCCAUAACCUUUCUACACUCUAAUGUGCUGUUUUAAUGGAGAAAUAUUUCAUAUUGAGGAGGAAAUUAUUCUUUUUAAUUCUAUAAUUACGCAGUCAUAAAUUCUCUCUGACCCACCAGGACGUCUUUGACUGUAUUCAUCCACAAUAUUAUAGGCCUGAGAGUAUGAAAUCCAGAGGAGUGGGCACAGUGUCGAUGUCACUGGAUUUCUAGGAUGGAAUAUGAGAGGGUGGGGUCUCAAGAGAUGGCUCAGCAGAUCCGAGCCUUGGCUGCUCUUCUGAAUGGACCUGUAUUCAGUUCCCAACCCUCAUGUAAGGCAACUCACAACCGCUUGUAACUCCCGGUCUGGGAGAUCCAAUGCCCUCUCCUAACCUCCUUGGGUACCCACACAUGGAUGACAUAUUCAAACACACACACACACACACACACACACACACACACACACACACACACACACCACAGAGAGACACAGAGAGAAAUACAAAAUAAAGAAACUUAAAAGUCAUAAUAAAAAUGUAUGGUGUAAGAAUGUCAGAUAACACCAUCAUCUCCCGCCCCUCUCAUCCCCCCAUGCCCUGAGAACUAAUUUUCUGGUUAAUUCCUCAGAAACAUCGCUCCCCCCUCCCCGUUUCUACCCCUGCCCCUGAGUUGUCGGUCCUGGAGUCUGGGAAUCAGAUCUCUCUGUUUGUAUUUCCCUUGGCUGUUUGAGAGCCCUAUCUGUCAUUUCUGAUACACUGUGAAUUUCCUAUCAGGUAUGAGAAGCACCUUCAGAAUGCAUGAUGGGCUGGGAAAUGUGAACUGAAAGCCAUUUAGAGGGGACCCAGGGACCUUCCCAGGGGCUGAGAAGUGCUGCUUGCCUUGCUCAGAGGUGGGGGUAGCCCUGAGAGAAGCAGGCAGAGUUAAUUGCCUGGGUGUCAAACCGCCCCAGAAGUGUAAGGAAAAGAGAGUGGCCAUAAUUAAACCUCACUUGUUGGGAUUUGACAGACUUAGCUCAUCUCACAGAAGAUGGGCAGGUCAGAGACUCAGCUUAUAUUAAUAAGAUGCGCUCUGGGAAGCACGGAGGAAAGUAUUCCAACCUUUCUCCACAUGGAGGCGCUACUCAACCCUCUAUCUCAACUCAUGUGCCAUUAGGCUUUCUUGGGCCUUCCAAGUAGCAUUCAUAGCAAAGCCUUUGCCAUUUCUUGCUCACAUUAACUGUAUUGCCUGUUGGCUGUUUUGAAACAUAGAUUACACUCAGUAAAUAUUUGUCAAAUACUUGCAUGAACAACGAAUGCCACCUGUUUGCUACCUGUUUGUUAAUGUCACCAAGCUCCUUUAUAGCACACAGUGUUUCCUCCUCAGCUGCUGGCAUACCCACUGGCCCCAGGGACGUUGGAAAAGGUUUCCAAGCUUAGAAAGCUAGCCUGCCCCCUCUGUCAAUCACAGCUGGGUGGAAUUGGCUCUUCCCUGCCCAAUAAAAUCUCAGGAUCACCGAGGCAGUUUUUGUUCCCUAAAAAAUUCUUUGGGUUCCCAGCACAAAGUAGGAACUCAAUAAAAUAUAAAGGCUAGCCAAAGAUGGCAGGCUGGAGAGCUGGCUCAGUCAGUAAAGUGCUUUCCAUGCAAGCAUUAGGACCUGAGGUCAAUCCCCCAGGACUCAUGUAAGGCAAACAAACAAACAAAAGCAAAACUAAAAGGGCCCCAAAGAUUAAGUUUGUUAUGUUCUUGUAACCCGAGUGCAAAUUCUAAGGGGUCUAACACCUUCUGGCCUCAUGUGGUAAACAUACAAACAUUUAGACACACACAUACACACACACACACACACACACACACACACACAGACACACACACAUACACACACACACACACACACACACACACACCUUUUGAAAACACCCAACAUUGACCUCUGGACACCAUACAUGCUCUCACACACACAAACUGAAGAUUGGUAUCCAAGCAACAGUUCCUCCUUCAUCACCCACUUGGGUAUAUGACAAUAGUUGAACAACAGUGCCAGUGUUCUGCUUAGUUCUGGAAUAGAAUUCCCAAGCCUGUGUUGAUGCUUGCCUAAGCAGGUAUAUUACUCCAGGAACAAGCUGGGCCCUAGCCCUGGACUAGACUCCUAAACCAACAUGAAAGAAAACAGCUAGAAUAUAGUCCAAGCAAGCAUAGGACACAAGUACAUGGAACGCUCUGAGGUGGCAGCUGGGGAGAGCCUGGUCCAUAGAAUUCCGUACUUCCAUCUCUUCUUCGUGAAGGAAUUGUAGCAAAAGACUGCUGCCCAGAACUGCCUCCAAUUGUCAGCUCACACACACCAGGCCUGAGCCAAGGAAGCCGAGUGCUAAGCAGCUUGUCUCCCGGUUCACGCAUGCGCUUACUUGUUAUUCUGUUUGCAGAGGAAGGCGCCAAGAAUACGCAUACACACUCCCCCUCGUGCAGAGACUACACAUUUGGAUGCGAUAAAUUUCUCUCUCUGACCAAAAAAAAAAAAAACCUCCAGGAACAGCUGAUGGGUGUGAACCGUGCUGAGGCUCCGGUAUGUUUCCAGAAACUUACUCCGGCACCUGCUCAGGACCUAGCCAUGUGAUGCAGGGCUGAGUCCUUCUACCUGGGUCUGGCUGCAGCAUAAGCUUGCGACUUGAGCUGGACAGAGAGUCUCUGUGUGUCUGAGGCAUGGGAACGCUCUGGCAAGUGUAUUUCCCACGUGGGACGUUGCGGUCUGGAGACUUGGAAUUGAGGCUGAGAGAUGAAGUCAGGGUGUAGAGGCCGUUUGGCCAUCACUCCUUAGAAAGACUUUGCCCUUACUGAAGACCAGAAAUUAUUUCCUCAUUGGAAACUUAAAGUGCUCAAGAGGAGGUGGGGAAAAUGUGAAAGGCCCCCUGGCUUUCCAGAUCCUGAGGCAUCUGUCACCCAAGCUGUACCUUCCUAGAAGCAGAGACAAGAUUUCUUCUCAAGGAAUUGCUUGGAUCCUGGCCCGGUAUGCGCCAAGUUCCCUGAAUGAGGUACUCAGACAGUGGGAGGGACAGCAACCGUCAAGACCAGCUAGGGCAGAACGUGCUAUAAAGCAAGAAGGGAGCCUUUGGCACUAAGGGAAGGAGUAAUAAUUCUAGGGGGUCAUUCUCCUUCCACGAAGUGUCCACGUGCUUUGAAGCCUUCUGCUCCUCUCUGGGCAGCAAAUCCUCUGCAGCCCUUCCAUGCCUAACAGAAUUCCUGGAUUCCUCUAUGUGGACACUAUCACGUCUCCAAUCAGAUAGAUGGCCGCCUCGACCAAGAGAUGAAAACAGGUUGGUAACUUCAUCUUUAAGCUUGUCACACAGCACUCCUUGUGAAUUAUGCUUCGUGGGCUACUGCCUUCCUUCAUGUCUUUUACUCUCGAGUGCAAGUACUAGACACUGCCCCAUAAAGAAACGUAUAUUAUACAAUCUCACGUAACAGUGAACCUGGGAUGCCCUAUUGAACAUUUUUACUGGGGAGCCUCAGAUUUAAAGAGACCACUAAACCAGUGUAGAUGUCAGGGAGCGUGAAGCUCGACUUCAUUUACGUAUUCACAUCGAAGACCAGCCUGGGAAUCCUCUGCAGCAAGCCUGAUGUGGCUGGUUAUGACAAACCCCUCCUUGUCACCACGAUCCUUGGUGGCUGAUUCUCUUAAGUCACAGGUUAGAUGGGGCUCAGGAUUGCCCAGAGCCACUGAGCAUAACAGAGAUAAAGGAAAUGAACAAGACCCGUCUAUCCUGCACACUCAGAGGCUUUUAUUCAGACGACUGUCACUCUCCUGAAAUGCAGCCCAAUAGCUGCCUCUCCUAAAACUCACAGGUCUGCACUACAUUUAAGAAGGCAGACUCUGGAGAUCUCCCUAGAGUUUAUUGGGUUUGGAUAAUUACACCCCGUACGUACCACUCCCGCAUCCUGAUUUACAAAGAUGUCAGGAGAGCUAGUUAUCAUCUCACACCCUGGACCCAUUAUUGCUCUCUCUAAUCCCGUAGAGUCAUUGGAGGGAGAAGGCCACUUGGAAAACAAACGUGUAUUUGAAUAGCUAAUAUUGGAUUUACAUUUCCAUCUCACGUGUAUAGAGAUAAUGAUGCAGCAAUUAAAGCCAAAUAUAUAAUUUUGAGUCAUGACUAGGGAUUGCUCCUUGAAACAAAUGCUGACUUAAAUGUUUAACAGAACGUUCUUAAAGAAAAAAAAAAAAAGCUUUGGGGAUGUUUGGGGUGUUUGUUUGCUUGUUUGUUUGACUGUCAAUAGAUGGGCUGGUGCUUUGAAAUUUCAAGUAGGGUAAAUGAAUAUAGAGAUUUCUGAAAAGUAUGUCAGUUUGUUUAUUGUGACCCCAAUGUGCCCAUAAAGCAACCCAAGCAAGACUCAGGCGCUCAUGCACAGCAAUCCCCAUCUCCGUGCAUCUGUACAGUUACAUACAUGCAUUCAUACACCCAUGUGCCAUUGAGUGUGUGUCAAGAUGACCUCAGAUGGGGCGACAUCAGUUCUGCAGAGGCAGGUGGUAUCUUGCCCAGCUUUUACCUGGGCACUCGGAAACCAAAUGCAGAUCCUCGUGUGUGUGUGUGUGUGUGUGUGUGUGUGUGUGUGUGUGUGUGUGUGUGUGCGUGCACUGGGCACUUUACCAGAGAGCCACCUCCUCCCUGUCUGGUAUGUGUGUGUGUGUGUGUGUGUGUGUGUGUGUGUGUGUGUGUGUGUGUAUGUGUGCGUGCACUGGGCACUUUACCAGAGAGCCACCUCCUCCCUGUCUGGUAUUAUUCCAACAAGAACCUGGAGAGCAAAAGAGGUUUGUGGGUGAGCUUGCCUGUACCAGAGUCUAACCAGUGCCAAUAGAGAUGCUUUGGUCAUUGUUUAUACAAUGCACCCCAUCACCAGAGCUUGACCUCUAAUCUUCCUUCUAAGUCGGGUGAAGGGAGAGAUAGAGGGGACUAUUGUGUGCCCUUCAGCUUCUACCGUACUUGUCACUUGCCUGUCAAAAGAGGCUACAAUUGCCCCUUUAUUCUCGGAGGCACCCUGUUUUCCUUGGCUAUUUGGAGGCAAGUCUAUAAGUACCUUCCACAGAAGGGACCGACUUACUUCUUUCAGUUUCUGCGUACGUUGAGCUGCCCUCCGGGGCCCUCAGUUCCAUCCUCACUGAAAAGGUCAAACUGGAAAUUAUCCUUGACAUACAGGGCGUCCCCAAGAGCCUACCUUGCUGCCAUGCCAAAGGUCUGCAUUGUGUGGAAGAAAGCUUUGCCUAUGGCUUGGAGGCUACUCGGGACUUUACCUGCUGUACUAGGCUAGACAGAGAGUCACCAUCAAUCCAUAUGGCAUUCCCUUGGUGAAGCCUUGUAUUUCAAUCCCAUUAAGCUCCGGGGCUAGUGUUUGCAGGUCUCGCUCUUAAAACAGGACCUCCUUGGAGCUGAAGCUACUCAGUGCAGCCGACCUUUGGGCCUUUGAGACAUCAGUUGGCUCUGGCCUAAUCAGCUGUCUUCCUCUGCUGCAUCCUUACAAGAUAAACUGUGUAACUCCCAGCUGCCUCUGCUUGCCCAUCUGUCACCAACUGAGCCAGAGGUCAGUGGGCAUGGUGCCCUUUUGUUAGAAUUUUGAGGGAAGGACAGAGAGCAGAAUUCAUCUAGAAAAUAGAAAAGAAAGAAAGAGGGUGGUCAAGACUGCUGAAGAAUCUAGAAUUCCUAAUGUCAUGGUUUCUAGGCCCCCCUCUUCCCACUUACAUCUCCUGGGAUAAACCAACUCAUUCAUUCAUUUAUUUGCUCUUCAAACAUUUAGUUCAUACCUCCCAAGUGCUCUGUGAUGGAUGUCAGAGUCACAAAGCAGAACAUGGCUGAAGAAAACCUUCCCUGCUCACCCAACCAUCCAGGGGUAGGGAAGCCUUGGCCAGAGGGAGGUUGGGAAUUGUCAGAGUGAGGAAGCUUGAACUAGAUGGCCUGUGCUUUGAAGACUGACUCUGCAAUUGUAGACUGUGUGGUUUGGGAGAGACCUGAACAUCUUUCUUGAACUUUCUACCACAAUGACCUUAUCCUAUAGUUUUGUCCUUCAUUGAACAACCCAAUGAGCAGUAUGAUUCAACCGCCACACACACCAUCAUCCAGACGUUAGAAGAUGUUAGGCUCUAAGGCUCUCUCAGGGUGGUCCUGGGGGCAACUCCAGCUGGCCUCAUGAGAUCUACGUGUCUUCUUAAUGCACUGCUAGAAGUUUAACCAACAGGCUAAAUCAAGCACUCAUGGAGAGUCAGGAAGAAAACUAGUCCCUCAUAGACUGAGUCUUGCUCUAGAGUUAUUACAGUAGAGGGAUAGAGGAAGCCAGGAAGAUAGCUCAAUGGGUAAAAGCAUUUGCUGCACUAGCCUGACAAGCUGAGGUCAGAUCCCUGGAAACCCUCAUUAAAAAAAAAAAAGAAAGAAAAAGAUAUGUAUUUCUAGCACUUCUAUAGUGAGAUGGGAGAUGGAGACAAGCGAAUCACCCAGAAGCCCCAGGUCCUGCCUGCCUGGAGCAGGCAGAAAGAGUGAUAGAGUCAAGAGAGACCAAACCUGCUUCAACAAGAUCCUACUGAUCAGCACACAUGCAUUAUGGCAUGUACACACACACACACACACACACACACACACACACACACACACACACACACAAUACUAUGAGAAAUAAGAAGAAGAGGGCGAAGAAGACAGAGAAUGUGGUCUCCAGCAGCUUAACAAUGUCCCACCUUUUCCCAGUUCUUGCCCCGCUCGGUGCCACUUUCCCUCCCACACUGCAGCUUUGAGAGAUGCUAUUUCUACCCCCCUGUAGCCAGCAAAGCUUGUUCGAUACAAGAUGCAGGAUCCUGAACAUCUAUAUAUAAAUCCUGUGUGCUUUGGUGAAGACUACAAAAACCUGCCAAGAGAUGUGUUCAUUCACAACACUGUUAUACACUGACCAAAGUUCACAUCUUAAAGGGAAUACGAGAGAGUUUAUUCUGGAGCCAUUUUGGGGUGAUCACAACUGAGGACCAUGGAUUUAGGUUUCCCCAAAUUCCACGUUCCAGCAUGAAAACAGUUUCAUGAAGUUUUAUAGUUUUACAGAACAAAGAAAGUCAUAAAUGAAAGCAGGUUUAAAAUACAUUGGUAGCUCUAUCAUAGAGGCAGGGACAGAGAGAUGGGGGUAGCUUUUCCAUGGGCCUGAGAUGUUAUUUGAUGACAUUCUUUGCUUUGGGGUUGAUGGAAGCUAGUGAGUCGUCUACUAAGAUAAUAGAUUCCAAAAGGUUUUUUUAUUAUUAUUAUUCUAUUAGUCACAGGAUAUUAGUUCUGGCAUGGGGUGAGCAAGUCAUGGUUAUUCGGGAGGCAAAAACUAGCCUAAGAUAAGGUAUCAGUUCUGGACGUAUAACAUCCACCCUCUAUACCACCCUGUCUUAAUUAGUCAGUCUUUGCAGACACGGCUUCUUUCUAGGAAUUUUUGCUCACAACAUGUUAUACAUAAUUCAGUUUCCUUUAGCUGGUAAGUUAAUUUUGCAUGUGUUACUUUUCAAUCACUACUCCUGCUGAGAAAGCCCCUGCUAUGUGACCCUGGGACCAUGAAGGAGGUCUAACAACCAUUGUGUCCUCUUCCUCCUAGAGUAGGAUCCCAAUACUGCCAUUCGUCAUAAUGCUGAGCUUCCCCAGGGGUCCAGGGCUGGUGCCAGGCUGGGUGCCAAGGGAAGCAGAGAGCAACUGAACAAAGUAGCAUUCACUCCCAGAGCCCUCAAACCUGCAGGAAGUCAGGAUGCCAAAUCCCAAAGUAGCAAUAGACCAGUUAAAGGCAAGCCCUCCAGGCAGAGGGGAUAGUCUAUCCCUCUGGGGGGAGACAGAGACUGGAGAUGUAAAUAGUUAAUGCUGUUGGGUGCAAAGGUGAAGUGGGGGUAGUCUGAUGGACCCAGGUCAUGGAAGGCCAAUGUAUGUCACCUAGAAAUAAGGGAAGAAAGAUGCCAGAAGGGGAGGUGGGUGGGUGAGGGUUAAGGCAAUGUGACAGGUUUCCCACUUCCAGGGUCAACUUGGCUAUUUACAGCAGAAACAUUGUCAUAGUUUUAACCUGAGAAGGGAGACUUAUUGAAGAGAUCGCCCAGAUCAGAUUCACCUGUGGACACAUCUAUGAGGGGUUGUCUUGAUUGUUAAUAAUGUAGGAAGGCCAAGCCCACUAUGGGCAGCACCAUUCCCUAGGCAGGUGGUCCUGGGCUGUAUAAGAGAGAUAGCUGAGCUUGAGCCUGAGAGUGGGCCAGCCAGCAUGGUUCCUCCAUCCAUGAUCUGUGCUUCAGUUCCUGCAUUGACUUCCUUCAACAACAGACUGUGACCUGUGAGAUUAAAAUUAACCCUUCUCCCACAAAGUUGUUUCGGUUGGAAUAUUUUACCACAGUGACAGAAUGAAAGUAGAAUGAGCAUAUAUCCCUGAUUUUGGGGGGUGGGGGUUCUGAGAAACUUCUAGAAGGUUUAAUAAAGCCUAGAAGGCUGGGUCUUAUUCCAGAACACACACAUGCUCCUGCCCUCCACUCUCCGCCCUCGCUCUCUCACUCUUAAUUUUCUCUGUUGGGCAUACAACAACAUUUCCUUCCUUAGCAGAGAAGGUCCUUCCAAAGCACACUGUUGGCAGGAAAGGGAAAGAAAAUGGUACCAUUAGUGAUUUUCCCUGUCUAAUAUUCUGUGACAAAAGCAACGAAGGGGUAGCUCACAGUUUGAAGCUGCCAUCCUUCCUGACAGUCAUAAGGACAGGAGCUUGAGGAAGCCGGUCACAUUGUGUCCAGAAUCAAGAAGCACAGAGCAGGCCAGCAAGAUGGCUCAGUGGGUAAAGGCACUUGCUGCCAAGCUUGAUGAUCUGAGUUUGAUCCCCAGGACCCACGGGGUGGGAAGGCAGAGUUGAGUCCUGCAAAAUGUCUUCUGGUCUCUAUGCAUGUCCUAUAACAUGGCACAUUCACAUAGUAAUUAAUUAAUUAAUUCGUUUUUAAAAUGUAUAAUUUCACAAAUAAAAUAUAAAACCAUGAACAGUUAUGCUCAGCUCACUCUCUCCUUUGUAUUCAGUCCUGGCUCCCAGUUUAGGACAUGGUACCACCCCCAUUUAGUGUGAGACUUCACACUUUAGUUGACCUACCCUAGAUACAUGGCAUGCCCACAUGGGCAUGCCCCUUUCCUGUGUGACUCUAAAGCAUAUCAAGUUGACAGUCACUAUAAGUCAUCACAACUAUCUCAAGAGCCCAACCUCCCUCUCUACAGUACAGGGAAGAGUGGCCGAACCUUGGCCAGGUUCCAUAUGCUCAUCUUUGUAUCACCUGUGUUCUACCAAAGACGCCUCUGAGUCUCUGGUGCUUAGGCCUCUACCCACACAGCAGGUUCAAGUGCAAAACCAUAGCAUUUCACAUACCCCUUGUAAAGAUGUCCCCGCAGUGUAGUAUUGUCAACUUCCAAUACCCACUUGUCAGCAUGGUGGAAAUGUGUUGCCAGCGAAAGGGAGUGGACAGGUGUUUGAAGUGGCCCAGAGUUGGGUACUGAUGUCUCUGCUUCUCGCUAUCAUCUGUGUACCCAGACAUCUAUGAGAUGUCCAGCAUCCCACUUGGAAUAUGGUUGCAUGAGAAAUGGGCUCCAGAAUCAACCAUGGGCUGUCUGGCUUGCUGCGCAUAGAUUUUGCUAUGGUAUGGAAUCACGGCGAUGUCCACAUGGGCUUCGACGAGCAGAUCUCUCGGCACCUACGUCAAACCUUACUGUCUCUGUAAGGUUAUCAUGUGUUCCCCUUUGAGUUGUCCUUUAUCUCUGGGAAACCUUGCCAGAAGAGCUAUCAUCACUUAGCACACACUGUCCCAUGACAGACUCCUCUGUGUUUGCCUACCUCUGUCAUGAAGCUGAACUUGGAGGGUGUGGAGAUGGGGGCAGGCACUAACUUGAUUUACAUCCUUCUUCCCAGAAUCCAGAUUGAAGAAAUUGAAUGGGUAUGCAAUGUCUACAGAUUUAGAGUAUAAAGGGUAAGGCUGGGGAGAUGACAGUCACUAAAAUACUUGCCAGGUGAGCAAGGAAUUUGGUCUCAAGAAACCAUGUUUCAAGAAGCUAAGCACAGUGCUACAUAGUUGUGGGGGUUUUUUUUUCAAUUAAUUUUUAAAAUUUUUUAUUAAAAAUAGUUUUUUCCAUAUAAUAUAUCCUAAUUAUGGUUUCCCCUCCCUCUACUCCUCCAAGACCCUCCCAUCUGGACCCUUCCCCUUUGUGUCUCUCAUUACAAAACAAACAGACUUUUAGUGACUGCUUCUAUUUCACUCGCACACAUAUGCAGCAUGCUAGUCAAAUGCUGGGCUAGGGCAUGGGACCAGUGAAAGGCAGGUGGCUGCUCCAAAGAGCCUGCAGGGGAAGGACUAUGCCACCAGAUACUACCAAAAAAUACAUGCAUGUUUGCAGCUUGGAAAAAAACAGUCACUGGGAGUCAGGAUGAUAAGGAUGAAGAACACCUCAGUGAUAAGAGAACCAGAGACAGCAACUUCUAAAGGGGGGAAAAAAAAAAAACUCCAGCCGUGUGGAGUUUGCCACUGACCAUGGUGUAAAUUCCUCUUAUAUAGCUGAUUUCAAUCCACUGGCCUGAUAUACUGGGAAGAGCAAUUCCCAUUGGCUCUAGUGGGUUCUGUAGGUCACAAGAAUGAGCUCUGCUAUGUGAAUAUACAGUCCAGGCAGAGGCAGGAAUAGUAAGUGCAAAGGCCCUAGGGUAGGAAUAAUGUGUGCUUCCAGAUCAGGAGUGGGAGUAUAGCCAUCCCCACAAGUAAGGGACUGAGAGGCUUGUGCUAAAGAGAGAGAGGUUGGAUCACAUGGCUAGAGAGGUCUUUGAAAAGUCUAAGCCCUGAAGCCCUCAUACUAGGGAGGUGUGGCCAGAUGAAUCUCUGGAGAAAGGUAAACUUGCCCCAGAUAUCCUGGACAAUUUAUCUCAGCAGGUAAAAUAGAGACUGCUGAGCAUGGUGCCACACACCUUCAACCCUGUACUCAGGAAACAGAAGCAGCUGCAACUCUGUGAGUUCAAGGCCAACCUAGUCUGUAUACUGAGUUCCAAGCUAGCCAGGGCUACAAAGUGAGACCUUGUUUAAAAUAAAUAAAAAUAAAAAUAAAAGAACAGAUUGUGCUCCCUGCCUUGUCCAUUUACCUUUCAUCUUGCAGUGUCUGAGGUGGGUGUGUGUUUACUAAACAAGAAAAUCAAACAUUUCAGCUGGAAAAAAAAAUAUUGUAAUGUCAAGUGUGUCCACCGCCUACCCACCCUCUGCUUUAAAAUGUCACUGGGACAGACUUGCGCAUACGGACCUGGUUCUCCUCUGAAGAUGCAAAGAGUGGCUUUCCAGAGGCAUCUAAACCCAGAAAACUCUAGCCAAGAAUGUGUGACCUCCUUGCACCUGGCCUGUGCUUGCUUCUGCAGUCCUGGUCAUGGGACUGGGAUGGGACAUGGGCAGUUUAUAAGUGGUAGCAAGGAAAGAGCCCCUCUAGGGUUUGGAUAUAGUGAGUCCAAAAUCAAUCUGGGAUGGAUCUUCUUAGACUCUACUUGGUCCACAUUACAGAUCACUAUGAUAACUUCAACUGGAUCAGGAGCUCACAGACGAUAUGAGUAGGCUUCCAGCGAAGGUCUUAUUCACAUGCCUCUAGGAGAAGAUGUUACUAAAGCUGCUUAUUUGAUUUUUUUUUCAAAAGAUGUACCUUCAGUUCCUUGCCGGAGGACAGGGCAUGUAUUCAAAACAGAUACUCUUAGCAUAGUUUCUGAAAUCCAGCCCACCACCCUCUAACACACUCCAGGAAGACCCCUGAGACACAGGAGGUCUUCACUCUGUGUAUUUGUGAACACCAGUUACUCCUCCUCUCUAGGCACAGAGGAGUGACAGGGUCGAUUCCUGCUGGGGAACCAAAUGAUGACCUGCCAGACCACUCUUGGGAACAGAACAAAAACGUCCAAGUUCUCCAUGCCAGGUCAUACACCUGUCACCUCCUACAUCUUCAGGGAAGACAUCUGCAAGAACUGGGUCUAGAAAUAAUUGUUGUAUCCUCUACUCAGUUGCCUCUGUGUCUUUACCUUCCAUCUUGUGUUUCUGGAGGUGUCAAAAUUUAAUUUCCUUUGCUCAAAGAAAACACCACAAUAUAAAGCGACUUAAGGGAGAAAGGGUUUGUUUUGUUUUGUUUUUUUCAGCUCACAAUUUCAGGUUAUAAUUCAUCAUUUUGGGGGAGUCAGGAUGUCAGAUGGUUGAAACAGUUAAUCAUGUCAAAUCCACAGUCAAAAUCAAAGAAAUAAGGCAUGCAUGCUUGUAUUUAGUCUGAUUUCUCCACUCUUAUACAGCCUAGGAUCUCAAGCCUAGGGAAUGAUGCCACCCAUGGUAGCCUAGGCCUUCCCACAUUAAUUAGCAUAGUCAAGACAUUCCUUUACAGACAGGUCUUCCCAAAUCAUUAAUUACCAUAGUCAAGACAAUACCAUACAGGCAUCUCCACGGGCCAACCUGAUGUAGACAAUCCUUCAUUGAGGCUUUCUUCCCACAAUCCUAGAUUGUGGCAAGUUGACGAUUAAUACAACCAUCAUAGGAAGAGACUGGAGAAAAUGUUAUACCUGGGUUUACCACUGGGGAGCCCUACCCAGCAAGAUUUAGAGGGAAGAAGAGAGGAAGCUCAGGGUACUAGCAGUAUUGGUUCCCUCCUCCCUGGUGCCCAUGCUCCUCCAUCAAAGUAGCCUUCUGGGAAGGUUCUAUCCUCAGAUAGUAGUAGACCAUGUAGAUAGUUACAGUCAUAUAACACAGCUCCAACACUAUGGCCUCUACACUCAUAAGCUGGCAUGCCACCAUAAGGUACCAGAGGUGGGUGAAGUAAUGAGUGACCAUCUUCUCAGUUCUAGAGACCAAAGUCCAAGAUCCGGUGCCAGCAGGUUCCAUUGUCUCCUUGGCUUGCUGGUGGGCCACCAUCAUGCUAUUUGCUCCCAGACAGCCUUGUGUGCCUAGUCAUUCCUCUUGUCUUCCUUCCACAUGGACACCAGUUAGAUUGGAUUAGAGCCCUACCCAAAUGACCUCAUUUUAACUUAAUCUCCUCUUAGAAGACCUUUAUCUCCAAAUCCUGUUACAUUCUGAGGCUUGGAACUUUGAGACAUGAAUUAGAAGGAGGGAGUGAUACUGUUCAGUCGUCUCUGUCGGGUCCCCCAUGUCCUUUGCUAAGCACUUGAUCAUAAUGUGAGUGGCCCAUCUGUUUCUGCUGACUGGUUGAUCAAGGAAAUGCUGGGUUUGUCUCUCUUGCUUGGAUUUACACUAAGCUACCCACUUGUAACCCUCCCCUGACAGCCAGGAAUUGGAAAAGGUAUAUAAUCCAGGCUAAACUGUCUAGAGAUCUAACCAAUCAAUCCACGAUUACAUGAACUGCCUCCUCUUUCAUAAGUCUAGUCCCACAAUCCUCCUAGCUCCAAGACUGAGAGGCCGUGGGUAGGUCCCACCUCCCUUCCUUAAGGCGUCGACAGUGUAUACAAGGAUCUGGGACAGGGCAUUGCCAGAUCCUUGUCAGUGAAGAGGAGGUAUUUUGGUUUCCACUGAGGAUACCAAGCCUGAAGUAUGUUUCAGGAGCAAAUGGGGGCCAAAAGAGGAUGUGGGAUCCCCUGGAAAUGGAGCUAUUGGCAGUGGUGAGCUACUUGAUGUAGGAGCUGGGAACCAAAGGUCCUCUUGAAGGGCAACAAGCAUUCCUAACCACUGGUCCAUCUCUCCAGCCCUAAAGGUAUUUUAAUAUGAACUUAAACAUGAGAAUUAAGAGACAGAGGGACACUCAAAGUGAGACAUACCCAGCAUAGGCUUUACAAGGGAAAAUAGGAAAAAGAAAAGCUAUACAUACCCAAGUAUGAAUCCUCAAGGGAGAACAGCAAUUGACUGCCUUGGUCUUAUCCAUAUGUACUCCUGGGGAGAGCAGCGAUCAAUUGCCUUGGACUUAGCCAUAACCUUUUGCAUCUACUCUUUCUCUCUUGAUAAAAGAGAUGUGUUGUGGGGUGACUCCAGAGAUGUGUGAUGGAGUUAGAAUCCGAUGGAGUAAAACCAGGAGCCACUAAGAUUGCACAAGGGGUUCACAUAUGUCCUUUCCCACGGGGUUUCUGGUGAGGGUCCUAGAAAUUACAGGUUUGUGGCUGGAAAAGGCAGUUGUUAACUGUGCUGGUAUCCUUGCGCUGUGACUAAGGCUUCAGCCAGAUUCCAGAGGCAGAAGCUUUCUUCUGAUUUCUCAUGUCUCCCAAGAUUUUCUGUGCCCUUUUUGUCCUGACUCAGAUGGGAUUAUGGUCACUGGGUAAAGGGGACAUCAGGGCACUCAUGAUCCAGGUGAGGGCUUGGCCUUGGGAGGUAAGGUAUACAUACAUCAGAGGUCAGAGGAGCCAACAUCUCUGCUCUCAUCUCAGCACCUGCUUCACACCCAUGGCUCUUUCCUAAAAAGGAAUGAAAGAGUCUCUCCUGCAGCCAACUAUGAGUGACCAAGGUCUGGGAACGUAGAUUCGGGUUUCCCCAAAUAACGUGUCCCAACAUGGUGACCGUCCCAUGAAGCUUUUAUAGCAAGAGAACAAAGAAAAUCAUUAAUCAAGAUUGUUUUUACAAAUACCAUAGUAGAAACAUCAGACAGGCAGGUUACAGCAAAACCAGGAAAUCUGUGCCAUAGGCAUCAGACUUUUCUUUCCAAAAGGGUUUACCUGAUGAUCACAAGGACAUUAGGUAGGUCACAGAGGUGGGCAGCAUACCCUGGCAGCCACAUGCCCAUGAAUCCCCCCCCCACACACACACACACGCGCGCGCGCACGCACACACACACACAAAUACACAUACAUACACAUAUACACACAGACACAAUAAUGAUAAAAAAAUGAUAAAAGUUAAAGAAUAGUCUUAUUUCAUUUGUUUCUGUUUUAUUUUUUAUUUCCUGAAUCAUGGUUUCAUUAUGUAUCCCAGAAUGAACUUGAACUCACUAUAUAGCCUACUGGGGCUAGCUACCCAGAGUGCUAGGAUUACAGGCAGGGGUCAUCAUGCCAGGUUGUCGUUGGCAUGUAGCUUAGUGGCAAAGAACUCUUCCAGCACAUAAGAGGUUCUAGCUUCCAUCCCCAGCACCAAUUAAAAAUGUAAUGAAAUUAUUUUGGAGUGACUUCAGGAGGAUUGUACCCCAACUUCAGUGUGUGGGGGGUUAGUUCCAUUUCUCAUUGCUACAGAAAAAAAAGAACCUGAUGAGAAGCCACAGCAGGGAGUUGGGGGUUAUUUUGGUCACAGUCUGAGAGGACAGUGUCCUUUGUGGUGGGAAGGCAUAGCGGCAGGAGUGACUUUUGACUGUGACCGUGGUCGUAGGAAUCUGAGGCUGCCUACUCACAUCUGCACAGAAGCAAGACAAUGGAAUGGCAGUGUGCAGCUAUCCCUGUUCUGUUCCAACCAGUCCAGGACCGCCAGCCCACAGAGUUACGACACCCACAUUCAAGAAAACAGGAGGUCUUCACCUCUGUUCCUCUAAUCCUCUCUAACCCUCCCAGACACACCCACCGGGGGUCCCCACUAGUUCUAUAGACAUUGCUUCAUCAGAUGGAGAUGACAAACAAAUUUGCCAUCCCACCUGGGACCAUACAGAGUUAUUUGUAAGCUCCCAUGCAGUAAAGACCAGAGGGCACUUGGCAUGUGCUAUGCUCACAAGAUGACCCCAGCUUGCGAUUUUCAACCACUGCCUCUAGUCCACAGGCGUUCAUUCUCACCUUUGGCAUCUCCUGUUACCAGAGUGGCAUCCAGCAGGUGGCACUGGUGCGAAUUAUAAAACGAGGGGUGUUUUAUUUUGAUUUCUGUCAUGCAGUUUGGGGUUCCUAUAGAUUAUCGCUUGAUUUUUUUUUUAAAUGUCUCUUCUUUUACGUGUUUGUGUGUGCGGUCAUUUUAUUUCCACCUACCAAAUCUGUCCAUAUAGACAGAGUUCUGACACUUUUCCCCUUCCCCCUCUUCUCCCUCCCACCCCUCCUUUCCCUCCCCCUCCCACUUCUCCAUCAUGUGCUCCAUCUUACAGGCUUUGCCUUCUCUGUGAUAUUUCCUGAAGAUUCCAGUCUGGAAUCCACUUACUGUCACAUCCACCCAGACACUCUCUCUUUGGGUAUCAACUUGGGGUGCCAAUCAAUUUUUUAGGACUCUGAAGAGAAGGGUCCCGUGUGAGCACCCCAAUCUCUCCUGCUUCAUCCCCACCCCAACAGUUAUCUUCACUUCUUAAGUCCCGUCUUAAUUUCUUCAUCAUCUGUCCCCAACAGCAAGGCUCCCCAAUUUCUGUGUGUCCUGAUCCAUGCCCAGGGGGAGGACCACUCUGGCAUACAGUAACUACUGACUGAUUCAGCACACACUCAGGGGCCACGUGUUAGUUUGGAGGUGGGGGCUGAUUUCUUUAGGGCAAGGGAAAAUGAUGCAAAUAGAGUCCAGAACAUUCUCCAUGCUUCCCAAAGUAUGUGCCUUGUGUGACUUUCCUCUUGGGUAGAAGAAGACUGUGUCUGGAUCUAAGAGAAGACAGAGAAAGAGACAGGUGUCAUUCCUGAGGCCAGGUUACAAGGACUGUGACUGUCUUGCUGCCACACAGUCUGUCCUCUCUCAUUUGGCCUAACACCUGCUGGGUUCUGAGCCAUAGAGAGGCUCACAUGGCAAGGAACUGGGGAUGGCCUCUAGGUGUGCCUGUAGGGGACCAUCUUGAAUACAGUGGACCUGCCCACUGUGGAUGGCACCAUUCUCUGGCUGGAAUCCAUGCUCAUAGACAUAAGGAAAGGGAAGCUGAACAGUAGCGUGCAUUCGUCACUCUCUGCUUCCCAAUUGUGGAUGUAAUAGGACCAGCUUCCAACCAAACAGACCAUGUCCUUGAACCACAGGCUCAAACCAACCUUUUCCUUCUCUAAGUUGCUUUUGCCAGGUUGUUUUAUCACAGACAAAGGAGAAGAAACUUAGACACUGGAUUAGUUAUAAAUGACAGUAGUGCAUUGGGCUCCUGAUCCAGGAGGCUGGAAAUGCAAGCUCCUGGUACUGGCCUUUGUACGGAACCAUCUGUGAUAAAAGGUUUGUUAAGGCUGUCCUUUCUCAUGGUCCCUCUGCUACUAUCACAACAUGAAUCCAGCCUGAGGACAGAGUCCUCCUGACCCCAACAGUAAAGGUUCUAUGUCUUAAACAUAGACAGAGCGGGAACUGCAUUAUCACUGGGAACAGCCAAACCAUGGACAGACCUGAGGCCAGGAUCCUGGGGCCCCCUCAGAAAGGGGAGACAAAGGGCACAGGUGCUAGGUGCUAGGUACCAGCUGGGACUUCUAGAACCAAAUACUUAAACAGGAAUCAGGACCAGUGGCACAUACCAGUGCUGAAGAGGUAGAGAAAGGAAGAGUUCAAGGUCAUCCUUGGCUACGUAGAAAAAUUUGAGGCUAGCCUGGGCUACACAAGACCUUGUCUCAAAAUGGUUGACUAAACUCUAAGUAGACAAGUAGGGAAGUUAUUGGCACUUUCUGGAAAGCACCAGCAGGGUGGAACUGAAGCCCUGUUUCACCAGAGGGCAAGCCAGAUCCUGGGACUUUUGCAAUCAUUUGAGAGUCUCCAAAAAGACACACUGGAAGCUUCGUGCUGUAUCCACCAAAGGCAAUUUCACAGCCUGGUACCUGCUCGUUACUAAAUAAGCUGCCUCACUCAGAGAAUUGAAGUUGGGCCUCUGCAAGGUAAGAAGCUCUGAGAGCCAAACAUUGGUGGCAGACACAGCCCAGACAUGAGGAGCCUAGAGCGUUCCCCAGAGUGACCUGUAGCUAAGAUUAACCUGCGGCAGCUACGGAGUUAAUACAGUUCCCAGCCCCACUCUUCCUGCUCUGUCUCAUGAGACAGUGAGGAGCCCUGGGCACACCAGAUACAGUUAGGACUUCCUGGGAGAUAGGUUGUGUGUGUGUGUGUGUGUGUGUGUGUGUGUGUGUGUGUGUGUAUGUGUGUAUGUGUGUAUGUGUGUAUGCAUACAUGCACGCACACAUGCAUGCAUAUGUAUGUGUGACUGUGUUAGGGGUGUGUGCAUGCAUGCGCAUGGAUGUGGAUGCCAGAGCUUAACCUUGCAUGCAGUUCCUCGGGAUCUGUGCACCUUGAGUUUUGAGACAGGUUCCCUCACUGGGACCUGGGACUUACAGAUCCAGCUAGGCUGACUGGCAGUGAGCCGAGAAAUCUAUCUCUGCUUCCCCCGAAGAAGCAAAUUCACUUUUAUUGUAUGUGUAUGGGUGUUUUGCUUGCAUGCAUAUCUGUACAACAUGUAAGUGCCUGGUGCCUGAGAAGGCCACAAGAGAACAUCCAGUCUCCUGGAAGAAGAGUUAGACAGUCGUGAGCUGCAAUGUGUGUGCUGGGAAUCAAACCCAGGUCGUCUGAGAGAGCAGAAAGUAUCUUAACCUCUGAACCAUCUCUUGAGCCCUAUACCUGGCUUUUUAACCUGGAUCCUGGGGAUCGAACUCAGGUCCUUGCGCCUGAGUGGCCAGUACUUUAUUAAGUGAGCUAUCUCCACAGUCCCUCCAGCUGGAAUUUUACAUGGCCAUUCCAGAUCAAGGGGCCUCAGUGGUUCUUGUGUUUUGAAUGUGACGUGUCCCCCUGCAGCUGGUGCUUCUGAACAUGUUGUCCCAAGUCGAUGAUGCUGUUGGAGGAGAUCAUGGACUCUUUGGGAGGGAUGCCUUGCUGGAAGCAGUUUGUCAUUGGGGAGGGCUUUGGGGAUUUAUAGCCUGGACCUGCUUCCUGUCACCUCCCUCUGCUUCCCUGUAUGGGUGUUAAUGUGACAAGCCAGCUCCCUGCUCCCACUGCCCAUUUCCAUGCCAACCCAUCAUGACAGACUCAGUCCCUCAUGCACCAUGAGCUACAGUAAAUGCUAUCUACCCUGAGUUGGGUUUUGUGAGAGAAUCAAUAUUGGGGUAGAAGAUCUAUCACGGUUUCUCUGUCCAGUCCUGCAACUAAGCCCCAACGUUGAAGGCUUGGUCCUGUCUAGAGGAUCUGCCAUUGAGAGGUGACUGGACCCUGAGAACUCUGCUCUGGGUUCAUUCUUUGAAGGGUGAAUAACAUGGCAUUGCCAGGACAUAGGGACUAAUUAGAGGAAGUAGGUCACUGCGGGAGGGGAGGCCCUAGAAGGACAUGCUUUCCCCUAGGCCCUUCCUGUCUCCCUCUGUGCUCCCUGGCUGUGCUAAGCUGUGCACCUUUGCUGCUGCACGGCCUCUACCAUGAUUUUCUGCUCUACAUAACCCAGAAGCCGCAGAGCCUGCUGUCCCUGACUAGAAACCUCCGAACUGUGAGCCACAGUAAAUCUCUGCUCCCUUGGAUGUCUGGAACAAUGGCCAACAUGUCAAUUAGUACACAGUCCUUCGAGGUAAAUGUGUAUCACUGGCUUGUCUUGGGUGGCCAGCUCAGCUGUGCUGAUUGAUGACUGAGCAUGCUCAGUACCUGUGGACCAUCUGUCUGCCUGUUGGAGUGCCUGUUCUAUACCUAUCUCAUCCUCCAUUAAUUUAGCGUGGGCCUGUCAUCAUGGAAGCAAAAGAGGGAGGAGUAUCAUCACUCAAGGCCUCUUCAAAUCUCUGCUCGUCUGUGUGCAUUGGCAUCUCAACGUGUUCUUGACCAAGGCUUGUCACAUGAUCAAGCCCAGACUGAAGGAGCCAUUUUGCAGUUCUCCCUGGUCCACAGAUCUACCUGUUCUGUCAGCUUUGUAACAUAACAGCCCAUCAUUCCUAUGUCCAUCACUGUCCCUCACAGAGUUGGCCCUGUACCUGUUUACUUUUCCAUCCAUUCAGUGACCUUCAUACAUGCAGAAGUCAGAGCACAACUUGUGUCAGUCCAUAUCUGUGCUGAUCUCUGGCUUGACUGAUGAUGUGUGUGUGUAUGUGUGUGUGUGUGUGUGUGUGUGUGUGUGUGUGUGUGUGUGUAUUCUAGAUCCAUUCAUGCAGAAGUCAGAGCACAACUUGUGUCAGUCCAUAUCUGUGCUGAUCUCUGGCUUGACUGAUGAUGUGUGUGUGUGUGUAUGUGUGUGUGUGUGUGUGUGUGUGUGUGUGUGUGUGUGUGUGUGUAUUCUAGAUCCAUUCUGUGCCAUCUGGUUACCCUCAUAGCAAUUCCAUUUUGCUCCCACCAUUUAUUACAACCCCAACAUAGACACCUAGGUGCCCUCUGCUCCCAUACGUGAUGAUGGACAGGUCCCUUCUCAGAUCUGCCCAGCCAUGCUGCCUUCAGAGCAGGUGAAGGGCUGCUAGACCCUUGUUCUCAGUUAGCUUAGGUCAGUGUGAAGUUUCUCACUGAAGGUGUUGAGGGAACAGAAUUCAAAGAGUUCAAACACAAACUAUUCCUAAACAGUCAGGGUGUUAGCACAGCCUACUGGUCUACCUUUGAACCUCUGGGCAUGGAGGGCAGCAGAAUGAAGGGGCACAGCUGCUUCAGGGUCUAAGUGGGGAAUGUUUGUGGUGACAGAGACACCUGGCCUUCAGGUAAUUUCUAGCUUUCCUCAGACUGCUUGAGAAGGUCACCCAGAAUCUUGAGGAAGGGGCUGUCUCUAUCAGCAGCUGCCAAUCCUGGCGCUUUGAUGCUGUCCACUCUUCCUACAAGGAAGAAAGAAAAAGGUGUGGGUAUGUGCUGGGCUUUCUCUGGGUGAAAAGAGCCUUGUGGUUUUGCAGUUUUGUUUAGUGGAAUUGGGAAUGUGAUAGCCUGCCCCCUAGAGGUCCUUUGAGGAAUGACAUGGACAGCUGUGCCUGGGCCCUGAUGUGAGCAAACAUAGUAUUUGUAUUCCCAAGUCAUGAGUCCAGAAACUGAAGCACAGAGAAACUCAUUCUGCAGGUUGCAGGGUCUGGGGAGUGCGAGCUCUGUAGCCUGGCCCUGAAGCCUCAUUCAUCACCAGGAACUUUGCCUUGGAUCACUCUGGCCCCAAACGUUCAGUACAAAGCUAUUGCCUAGUGUAUCUGAGAUGAGCAGAGGUCUGGAACGCACUGUGAAAGCCAACUGCACUGAGUGGCGCUUUAACACUAUUGAAGGAUCAGUUGCUAAGUGGCACCGAGAGUAGCUGGUAAUGGGGUGCCAAGGUGUCUCUUGAUUCCCUUUGUUCCUCUGUAUGAAUAAGUUGGAGAGAUGUGGUUUGUUUAUUUGCUGUUGUUAUUGUCUUUAUAUAGGGAGACACGCUGUAACCCAGGAUGGCUUCAAAGUCAUCACAUAGCCCAGGUGACCUCCAACUUAUGCACAAUCCUCCUGCCUUAGCCUCCCUCGUGCUGGACUGGCAGGUUUGCAUCACCACACCUGGCUAGAGUAGAACCUCAAUUCCCACAGUCCCUCUCAGCUCUGGCGUUCAGUGCAGGCCUGUGUGGACAGGCUCAGGCUGAAGGACUCUCCUUUACCUUGCCACAGUAAUCAAGCACACAGCGUCUGGUCUCAGGCCACCACUGGCUUCUACACAGAGCCUCAGGUGACAAGGGCUCAGUGAGGUCCAGGGCAGUGAGAAAGAUGUUUGAGUCCCUCUAUCCUGUCAGUUGGUGAUUUUUAUCUUUCUUAGCUCUCUUUAAUGUGUAAUUUCUAAAAUGGCCAUCCAACAUCUGUCAUGUGUCAGGGACCUUGUCUUACAUCCUCACUGUCUCUAGUGAUUCUAUAUGCUGUCCCCUGGGCUGUGCUGGUGUGAUGCAGUGGUCAUGAAGGCUGACCGCAGUGUUUCCAACCUCUGUCUGUUGCCAUCUCCCCCUGCCCACCCUGCACCACUGAGUGGAUUUCCUGCCCCUCUACUCUCCCAGUUGCUGGCACCAGCACAGAGCUGCAAAGUGUCCUGAGGUCACUUCCUAGGAUCUCCAGCUAGAGGGUGAGCAUAUUGAUGGGAUCAUGGCCUCCACAUGAGAGAAAACAGCUUCACGGGGAUUUCCUACCAUCGGCAGACAUGUCUGACCUUGAACACCAGGCCACCUUUCCUUUCACAGACUACCAGUGUACCCACUGCUUGCUCCCACCAAGCCCCAUCUUCUUUUCCUCCUUCUCCUCUCCCUCCUCCUCUUCCUUCUCCUCCUCCUCUUCCUCCUCCUCUUCUUCCUCCUCUUUCUCCUCCUCUUCCCUCUCCUCCUCUUCUUUCUUCUCCUCCUCUUCCUCCCCCCUCCUCCUCCUUCUCCUCCAUCUCCUUUGUAAAAGGGCAGAAGUAACCAGCUACAUGGAUUGCAGGCUUACAGCAGUGCUCUCUAUAGGUGCUUUACAGGGUAGCCUGUCCCAUCCUCGGGGUAACAUUGUGAGAUAAGUCAGCACCAUAUUAUUCCAUUUCACAGAUAAGGAAACCAAAGCCUAGAGACGUUAAACAACCUGUCCAAGGUCACACGGUAAGCCACAGAGAGAGCUUAACUGGCUACAGAAUCCAGCAUGGUCAUGACAGCUUUAUUCAUUACCUGUCUCAGAUACUGCUCAUUCGUUCCUCCCUUGGAGAGACUUCCAGCUUACAUAAGAUAGGAUUCUAGUUCUCCACGAAUCCACUGUGUGGGUCUGAGAAGCUAUGUUUUUCUAUUGCUGAAUAGCAAAUAACCACAAACAUGCCACCCCCCAGCCACUGAUCCCCAAUAACCACAAACAUGGCCCCCAGCCACUGAUCCUCAAUAACCACAAACAUGGUCCCCCAGCCACUGAUCCCCUGCCAGUGUCUGGAGGCCGGGCAUCCGGGUGUGGCUGCAUGGUGGGGGCUCUGCUCAGGGUCUCACAAGACUGACACCGAGAUGCCACUAGAGCUGUGCCCUCAUCAGAAGGGGGACCCUUGCCAAGCUCCCUGGCUCCAGCCAGAGUUCACUCAUUCACAUGCGGAGCGCUGUGCGGGUCACACCUGCAUGUUGGCACACUCCACAACGAGACUUUCGCCAAGAAACGAUUGGCCUUCUCUUCUUUAGUAAUCAGGGAACGGAAGACGCUGCAUUUGCUGUGUUGCAUCGCCAAAGGCAGUUUUCGGGGUAUUUGUGUUGGGUGUGUUUUCUAAAUUACUGCUUUGUGUGCUUUCUGGAAGCACGAUGCAUAUGCUUUGGCCUCGGAGAGAUUUGCAUUUUGGAGCCAGCAGGUUGGCUUCCAGUGAGUAGGAGACACCACCACCGCUGAGAAGGAAUUGGGGGUGUUGUAAAUUUGAGGAAACUCCUGUCACACAUCCUCCUGGGCACCUCUUCCCUUAAAGGGAUCAGUCAUAGCCCAUUACCUCACAUCUCCUCAAGGCCCACGCAAACACUGGUUACUGUGACUGACUACCGACUCAGAAACAAAUGGAACACGAGUCAUGAUUAUAACGAUGUCCUGUCCGUGUAUGUGCUAGAGCCACAGCAUGCAUGCUAAUUCCUAAGCUUUGUGUCCUCUGGUGAGGUUGUGGUGUGAGGUUUCCCCCAUCGUAGUCAUGAGGCAGCUGCUGCUCAGAGCUGUCAGCUCACACAGUUUGGAGAUCUCUAAGACAGCAUUGAAAGCCAAGCCUGUGCCUUACUCUUCCCUCAUGAUCUGACUCCAAUAUGACCAUCAUAAACUCAGGCUUUGAAUGCUUGUUCCCACAGCUGGGAGGCUGCAGAGUCUUCAAGAAGCAGGCCCUGUGUAAAGGAAGGAGGUAAAGGUGGACUGCUAGAGGUGGCUCUUUAAAGGCUGGGGCCCCUACUUCCAGCCCUGUUCUUUCUGCUCACUGGGUCACCAAGAUGUGAAGAGCUUCAGGCAUCAUAAACUUUAGUCUCCUUUUCCCGCCCUGGUGGACUGAUGCCUUCUGAUACCAUGAACCAAUCUAAAAAUCUUUUAUACUUGUUUAAGUCCCUUAAACGUAUUUGGUUCAGGUCUUAUGGUAAGGUUAUACAAAUACAGGUAGCACAUCACCCCCAAGCAAUAAAAGUGGCCCAGGCAGCCUUUUUCUAUGUUUGUCUGAUGAGAAUUCUGGCAAGACGACUGUACACAUCUCCUUACCUGUGGUCCCCACAGCCCUGGUCUUCUUGCCUCUUGCUCUGAGAAAGAGCUGAGAUACUGUGCCCUGGGUAGUAUUACUUCCAACGGUUGGCCUACAGCAGAAAGGACUUUGAAAGUGGCAAAGGCAAAGGCAAAGGCGACCAAGCCCUCCACCAGUUCUGUGACUCCUCCCCCCACCUUCUGCUAAGCUCUUCGUCUUUAAGUGAUGGCUAAGGCAAGGAGACGCUUGGCAAGAAAGAACUGCACGAGGCAGUUGUCCCCUCUACCCACAGCAGAGCCGUCAGGAACAUGUGAUGUUGUAUCCUGUCUGAAGUCAUAACACUCCAAAGCCAGAGCUCUGUGUUUGGGACUGGUAGAUAUUCCAUCCCGAGAGCAUAUUUGUCUUCAAAGACUCACCUCUCGAGUCCUGAUGCACACUGAUGUUUUCUUGUCCCCUGAAAGGCUCCUCCGCAAACGUACACUCAGAACCAUUUUUCCCAAGUGCACUAAAAUCACCCCGACCUUGUUUUCUCUUUCCCUUUGGGUUACGGCAGUAUUUAAAAGGCUUUUCUGAAGAGUGAAGCCUUAUCUAAUGUAGAGUUCUCCGGUUCCCCAUCACAGAGAUCCAGGCUGCAGGGACUCACAUGUUCCUCCUGCAUUCCUUGUCCCUAAACAUUUAAGCCAUCCCUACACUCUGGCUACACACUGGCACCUCCUCUUAAAGGCUGAGAAGAAAGCGGCUGGACCCAAGGUCUUUAAUCAAGGCCUCCGUCCAUCAGCCAAUAAGGGCAAGAGGCAUUCCCCUCCAUACUCUAAAAGGGCUGGACUGCUUGAUCAAGAGUGUUUGGAGAGUAGACAGUCCAGGUUAGUGAAGCAGGAUGCCAGCUUCUGUAUCCUGACACACACACACACACACACACACACACACACACACACCACUCCUUGCUAGCUACAGGGGAAAAUAUGUGCACAUAUGAAUGUGUGCACACAAAUGGGUGUAUAGGGGCACAUGCGUAUUUAAAUUUAUACAUAAAUGGAAGGUUACUCUUACCACCAAAAUUCUCUCUUCCUGGAGCAAGUCUGUUGGGGUGAAGAUGGGGCACACUAAAAUUAGUGGGAGCAGAUUCUCAUCAGGCCGGGUGAUCUUUCCACUUGGAGACUGCAGUGGAGUCUUUCUAACUGAGCAGAGGCUUUGGAUAGGUCCAGGAGGAGGAAGGAGGCAGCUGCUGGAUGGACCCUGCCAUAGCGCCCCCUACAGGUCACUCUUGGAAUCAAGCCUCGUGGCUGCAGCCUUUUGCUCCGCCCCACUCUGCUACCCCUAACCAAACCCAACCUCUCUUCUCUAGGGCCCUCUGGUGAACCUAUGAGGCUUCUCACCAAGGGUGGUGAGAAUGACUCAGUAGUCACCACGGCUCUCCUCAGACGUCAGACACAGUUCCUGAUGCACCUUGUGUCUGUAUUAGUUGCUCACAAGUUGCUGAGACAAGAUGCCUGGCAAACACGAGUCAAAGGAGAGAGGGAUUGAUUUGAGCUCACAGCAUGGGAAAUACAGUCCACUGUGGGUGGGAGGGCACGUCGGCAGGAACGGGAGGCGGCUGGUCAUAGUCCGGAAGCAGAAGGAGAUGGCUGCUGUGCUCAGCUUGCUUUUAAUUUUUUAAAAGAUUUAUUUAUUAUUAUACAUUAGUACACUGUAGCUAUCUUCAGACACACCAGAAGUGGGUGUCAGAUCUUAUUACAGAUGGUUGUGAGCCACCAUGUGGUUGUUGAGAUUUGAACUCAGGACCUUCGGAAGAGCAGUCAGUCCUCUUACCCGCUGAGCUAUCUCUCCAGCCCCCAUUGCUUCCACCUCCCCCUUCUUUGGUUUUUCAAGACAGGGUUUCUCUGUAUAGCCCCGGCUAUCCUGGAACUCACUUUAUAAGCCAGGCUGGCCUCGAACUCAGAAAUCCACCUGCCUCUGCCUCCCGAGUGCUGGGAUUAAAGGUGUGCACCACCACCGCCCGGCUCUGCUUUUAAUUUUUAAUUCAAUCCAAGAUCCCAGCCCAUAAGAUGGUGCUGCCCACAUUAUAGGGUGGGUCUUUCUCCCUCAAUUAACCCAUUUUAGAAAUUCUCUCCCAGAUAUGCCCAAAGGUUUAUCUCUUUAGUGAUUCCAAACCCUGAUAAUGGUCAGCAUUAGGCAUCACACUUGGUUGGGCCCAUCUGUUGCACACUUUGAAGCUUCUGGGUCAGAUCUAAUUAAUGAAGAUGGAUGGAGUGAUCGCAACUGAGGUCCCAAGCAUAUUCUGCUUUCUGCGCCUUACAUAGGUCCCUCCCUCUGGAGUGCCUUUCCUUUCCACCCCAACACUUUGCCCAGUUUCCCAGUCAGAACCAACUCUCCUUGUACACAUCUCCAUCAUAACCACACUGCCUACAGCAUCAUGACGUCAAGGCUUAUCUAUCCAUCUCACAUAUUCAUUCAGGGAGCGUGCAUCUGCCCUCGUUUGAGCCAGCUUGCUGUCACUGUGACGGCAUGCCUGAAAUGAACUUACGAAGAAGCCUAUUUGGCUCAUGGUCUUGUCGGUUUCAACCCAUGGCUGCUUGACUCUGUUGCCUUGGGUCUGUGGCAGCAUGAUACAGUGGAGAGAACCUGUCUAUCUCAUAUGCCUACCCAUCACCUAACUUCUUCCCAUCCUCUUAAAGAUCCCUUUAGCCCUUAGUAACACCACAGGCCAGUGACAAGCUUUCCUCGCAGUUGCCCUGGAGGAAGACACUUAAGAUUCACACCAUAACUCCCCUUACACGGACACUUUCUUAUACAACACCUGUGCAAGCGCCAGUGGAUAGUCGAGAGACAUCUUUAACCUCACAGCUCACACACUCUAAACAGAAAGAGCACCUAAGGCCAAAAUCAAGGUGUCACAGCUAGGUGAGGUAGUGUGGGACUCAGGGCUUGAACACCUUAGUGCAUGCCCAAGGCUCUGGGCUCCUUAACUGGUACUGUGGAAAUAUAAGAAACGGGGUCCAGGUAGUUGCUGGACUGUCUCGGGACACUCUAGGGAAGGACUCGUCCAGUGGGCGCUGGUAAGUUUCAGCUCCUGAGUCCUUCUGUCUCUUUUGUGCUUGGCCCUUGCCCAUGAGUGUCCACAUCCUCUUAUAAUCUGUCUUGUAGACGUACAUGCUCAUUAGAUACAAGGCAUACUCUAGCCUAGCCUUAUUUGACCUUGACUGUUACCCCAAUGACAUCGACAGAGACUCCGCCCCCAAAGCUUCUGGAUUCUGAGUGUAGUAAGUUUGAGUGGAACCGCUGCCCCUCUAACAACUGUGACCUUCAUGUUAUUCUGCUGGGUCUAGAUAGCAGUGGAAACUGAGGCCCAGAGAGGCAGUGUGUCUGGAGCAUCCCUAGCUGGGCUUGGCCAAGCAAAGAUAAGUUGAGUCAUGGCCCCAAUGUGAGUACCUUUCCUCCAUCCAUGUUCCUCCUGCUAGAAGCGCAGGGCUGAGCACACCAGCCGCACAGCAUCCUUAGCCUGUUCCCUGGUUACCAAUGAGAAGAGCAAACUGGGCCUCUUGGCUGCUCUGGCAGAGCCCAGAGGGCAUCCACCUCACAGGUUCUCUUCUGAGCCAGUAUUUCCAUGGUCAGCCACACAGACCAGGAAUACCUGGUCCCUAUGCACAGGGUGCGUGUGGAGAGCAGGGGUCUCUGGGACACCUGGCUUAUGUCCUGCCAUGUUUUGUGCUCUGUUUUCCAGCCAUUCACAUUGCUACUCCUAAAGGUCACUUCUGAUUCUCUGUUAAGAAACAGUCACUCAUUUUCCCCUUACGUCCCUCUCUCCUGCUUUGUUCUGCCUCCACAUUCCCUCUCCCACUGAUGUGAGUAAUGGCCACGGCAGGCCGUGUGCACUCCCGUUCCACUAGUCUCCGUGUCCCCUAGCCCAGUGUGCUAAUGUCCUGGUGGGGAUUCUACUCUCUCAUUGGGUUUUAGUAUCUUACAAUAUCCUUUGGGGAAUAAAAGGAGGAGAAUUGCUGACAAUUUUUCCACAAAUUUGGGCUCGUACAAGAGUAGUUUUCUUUGAAUCAGCUAUGAUUCUCUCUUUUUAUGUAGACCUAACAUUUUUGUUUCCUUUCCGGGCCGCCGCUAAGUGGGCUGUUAAAUAGUUGGUCUCUUCUGCUGCUGGGUUUUCAAGCUGUGAGAGUUUAGCACAAGCAGACAUGUUAGAGGAUUUUUCUCAUGAUGUCCUUGUCUUGUGGGUCACAUUUGACAGAAGCAAUGAAGGGGGGAGGGGUUAAUUUAACUCCUACACCAGGAGCUCUCCCUGUCUGGGGUGAGAUGGAAGCAAGAUCCCUGAGAUGUGGAGGGACUGAUAGACAGAACAUAGAAAGAGAAGGGUGUGGGGUAUGCAGACCAGAGCUUUCAACUUCCCAGGCAGCGUGGCUUUCGACCUAGGGUUGCUGGGUCUCCAAGAUGCAGCCCUGAUUUUCAAGAUUAAGAAUCUGGGUCUGCUAUCAACUGUUACGUCUUCAUUUCUUUUAUCAUUUCUGUGAUUUAAAAAAAAAAUCAGUCUGAUAAAAGCAACUGAAGGAGGGAAUGGUUUGUUUUAAUUCACAGCUUGAGGUAUGACCCAUCAGGGUGGAAGUCAAGGCAGCAGGAUCUUGACGCAGUUGAUCACAUCACAUCCACUGUUAGGAAGCAGAGAGAGAGAGAUGAAUGCUGCUACUGCCUGGCCCCCUUUAUCCAUGCAUAUCUUCAGGAUCCCACCCAGGGGAUGAUACUGUCCACAGUGGGUGGGUCGUCCCACAUCAAUUUACCUAGUCAAGAUAAUCCUCCACAGACAUGCCCAGAGAUCCACAGACUCCCAGAUGAUCCUAGAUCCUGUCCAAUGGAGAGUUAGCAGUGACCAUGUUGUUAUCAUCUACUAUUAUGGGACUGAAUUCCUGGGGAGACAGAAUAUCUAUUCACCCCAGAUAAGAAUCAAUAAUAAGCCAAAGUGCAGAUAACACUCAAGUCUAACUUGGAGAGCCAAUGAGUUAAUUGAUGUUACUUUCAGGAAUAUGGGUGCGGGGUUACUUGCAGGAGCUGAAAUGACUCAAAGACAGUUUCCUCUUCAAAAUCCCAACCCAGCAAGAGUGACAGCUCAUGAAAGCUGGAAACCCAAAGCUCGCUGCACAAGCAAUCCAACAGGUUGGGCAAUGUCUUCUCUAAGUAGCUCAGUUGGAUUGAGCAUCUCCCAUGCAACUCAGUUGGUCUCUGCUUCUUCCAGGUAGUUUACCCUAUCUGAGUGUUCCUCUAAGCAGUCCUUACUGCUUAUACAGGGGGGAGGAAGAGCCCAGUGGAGCUGCUCAGUUUCAGGAACUUCCUGAAGCCUUUGAGCUGUUUACUUCCUGAGUUUAAUGAGCUUCCCUGUAGGAUAGAAUGUUUCACCUCAUUUAGACCAUCUAGCAACUUAAUGAGUUCCCCCAAGAUGGAAGGUUUUAUAUCAGAGGAAACCAAAUUACCCACAGACACUAUGUGACUGAACCAUGUUCAAGCACGCUCAUACACCACUUUACAUGCCUCUUCCCUUGAAAGCCUGCCCCCUUGACUCCAAUACAAGGCAGGUAGGUGUGUUUGUUGUCUGUCCAGCCCUCAAUGUGCAGACAAUGAAUGUAUUUUUGGUCAAGUGAGCAGCAUCUCUUUAAAUGUUUGUUUAGAGAGUUAUCUCCAUAGUCACCUGCCAGGUACAUCUCACGUACUGAACAUCUGUGUUAGAUGUUUAAACAGAAGGGGAGAAAAUAGGUGAGACCUCUUGCCCAUCCAGAGCUCAGACCAGAGAGGGAGAGAGGAGGAGGUAAAAUGGACCAUUAGAUUAGAUUGUAUAUGGUGGUCUGUUAGCAAGCGACAGUCACUAUGGAGAAAGCCUGGGAGGCAGAGGAGGAUGGAUCACAGUGUAAAGAAUCCACAGGGCGCCUUCAGAGCAAAGGUGAGUGCAGAGGCCCUGGAACAUUGGAAAACUAAUCAAGUCUGUGUAACAGGGGUAGGGUGUGCAAGAGGAAAUGUAGAGGAAAAAAAAUCGGAGAUUGGUGGACCACCUUCCCCAUUCCAGAUGGAUAAGACAUCAAAAGUUGGGGAUCUUGAGGGAUGCGUCAUGAGGUACCUGGGAAAUGAGUGAUGGGUAGAGCCAGGGCUAUGGUUCUGGAUCUUUGCUGCCUGUGGCAUGAUUAGAGAGUCCACUAGAAGGUGACACAUGACCCACCUUGUCAUCAGCUGAUGCUGCUGAUGCUGCUCUAACUCGGAGAAAAGGAAACCGGAAGCUCUUUAGUGUGCCCCUGAGAACACCUUCCACGGCAAGGUGGUUCCUGGCAGCUUGUUAUCUCCAUUUGAGCUAGCCUCAGGUUCACAGCUGGAUAACAGCUGCCUCUCUGUCCCUGAUGCUGCCCCACCCAGGCAGCCUCCCAAUCCCUGCAGCCUCCCCACACCUGCAACCUCCCACACCUGCAGCCUCCCCACACCUGCAGCCUUCCCACACCUGCAGCCUCCCCACACCUGCAACCUCCCACACCUGCAGCCUCCCCACACCUGCAGCCUCCCCACACCUGCAACCUCCCACACCUGCAGCCUCCCCACUCCUGCAGCCUCCCACACCUGCAGCCUCCCACACCUGCAGCCUCCCCACACCUGCAGCCUCCCCAUCCCUAUUACAUCUCUGGGUUGCCAAUGCCACCGGGACUCUGACUUCUUUCUUUCCCCCAGAGAUUCUUGUGUUCCCUGGAACCACCUGAGUCUGGGAGCGCAUUUAAUUUAGGGCCUCCACCUGUGCAGUCAGUAAAUUACUUCUGCCCGUUCACUCUGACGAGACCGUCUGCCAUGCUGACCUUUCCCUGCCUCGUGUGUGGGAGACAUAUUUCUUUGCUUAAUUUCUUGUGCCAUCUCCUUUCUGGUUCCUGGCUUUACUUCCUAAUCACUUUGGUGGCUGCCCUUCCUUGCUCCCUUGCUUCUAAAACGCUCUUCUGCUGCUUCCCUCUAUGACAGGGGUGCCCUCUAGCCUUCUGCUUCUGAGGUGACCUUCACAAUCUGCUGAAGAACUCCUCAUUACCAGGGUAUAGGAGGCCCAGGGUAUAAGAUGCCCAGGGUAUAGGAGGCCCAGGGUAUAAGAUGCCCAGGGUAUAGGAUGCCCAGGCUAUAGGAUGUGCAGGGUAUAAAAAGCCCAGGGUGUUGAGUUUUGCAUAUGUAAGUACAUGUGAUGUGUGCAUAAGUGUUUAUGAAUGUUCAGAUAUGUGUGGUGUGUAUUAGUACAUGUGCCCACAUUUAUAUAUGAAGUUGUGUGUGCAUAUGUAUGUGAAUGUCAGUGGGGUCGAGAAUUUGACACCCAGUGUCCUCCUCAAUCAUUCUUCACCUUAUAGAUUAAGGCAAAAUCUCUCACUGAACCCAGAGUUUGCCUUUUUAUCUGGUCUGGCUAGCCAACUCAACUCCAAGAACCCCCUAUUUCCGCCUCCAUCUUGCUGGGAUCUCAGGUGGGGGCCACACCCACCCAGCUUUUACUUGCUUUUACACAGGUUUGGGGGCUAUGGGCUCUGGUGUUCACACGUGCAGGAUAAGUGCUUACCUGCCGAGUCAUAGUCAUGGUCCCAGCCCAAGGCAGUGGUUUGAUGUGCCUUGUAGAGAAGUGAAAGAUCUGUAUAUCGUAAAAUUGAGCAGCUGAGGGCUGGAGAGAUGGCUUAGCAGUUAAGAGCACUGACUGCUCUUCCAGAGGUCCUGAGUUCAAUUCCCAGCAACCACAUGAUGGCUCACAACCAUCUGUAAUGGGAUCUGAUGCCCUUCAGUCACAGCUACAUUGUAUUCAUAUACAUAAAAUAAAAUCUUUUUUUUUUAAAUGAGCAGAUGAGAAUCUUGACCUCUGCCUUGUCCAUGGUCAGGUCCUGACUAAGGAGUCACCUUAGAGGUGACAGGUCAGUGCUGGCACAUAUACAAACCAGUGAAGGAUUUCUUUAUGGCGCUUUGGUUUGGUUUUGAUUUUGGUUUUUCUUGUCAUCUCCUUUAAGACAAGGCCUCAUGUGCCCAGUCUGUCCUCCAACUCUAAGUAGUUAGGAUGACCUUGAACUCCUGAUCUUCCUGCCUCCACCUUCCAAGGUCUGGGAUUACAGGUGUGCACACGCACACAUACACACACACACAAACACACACACACAGAGUAGUGCCUUUCUAAGGUUUCAGAAAUCCUAAGCAGGUUUGGCAGCAAUCUGUGUAUAAGACUGCCCACCGCAGCACUGUUUAUUACAAGGGCAAAUUGAAAUCCAAAUUGGCCAUCAGACCCUCAGCGGCUCACACUGGAUGCAUGUCAAGUUAAACAGCAGGAUACAGGGAGGAAGUCACAGGCCCUGAGAUUGGUUCUCACAGAUACAGAGAGACAUCCAGAAAACAGGAGUGGAGGUUAAAAGAGGACUGGGGGGGGGGGGGGGAAUCCCUGAGGACCAGAGUUUGGGGACUCCCGGAAUGCACCAAAAAAGCCUGAAUCAGCAGUGCACACCUCUAACCCCGAUUCUUUUCCAGCAAGAUCUGUGGUGGAGACAGGAGACUCUCUCAGAAGCUUGCAGGCCAGCUGCCUGUAGCGCACAGCCUGCCAACAAGAGACACCAGCAAAGUGGAAGAAGAAAGCCGACACCCGUGGCUUUCACACACAUGCUGUGGCAUAUUCGGGCUUGCACAAACUUGCACACAGAAAUUAGAGGGGGAAACGAUCAGGUUCAAAUAAGCCAACUGCCAUGGUACCCCAGUAUAUGUGGUGAUUUGUUGUUAUAGAAUAAAAUCAUGUAUCCAUUACAGGGCAGACAUGAUGUUAUUAGGAAAUGCAAUUAGAUAAUUCGCAAAUCUUAAACAUUAGGGUGUUCUCCAGUCAUUGAGUGGCUAUAACAUUCUGUCCAAUUAACAUAAAGAGUUCAAUUGAAUGAAUGCCCUGAAGAGUAUCUUUCAAUAGCUAGGGAGAUGGCUUAGUAAGUAAGGGGCUUGCUGCACAAGCAUGAGGAACUGAGUUCAAAUCCCCGGCACCCGCUCAGAAACUGGGCAAAAUGGCACACAUUCAGCACUGUGAAAACAGAAUUAAAUAGCUACCAGGUACUUGGGGGCCAGCCGGCCAGCCAGCCAAGCCAAAACAUGGAGUUCCAGGUUCCAUGACAGACCUCCCUCUCAAAAAAUAGAGAGCAAUAGAGAAAGACACCCACCAUGACCUCUGACCUCCAUGUAAGCACACAGGCAAGUGCACCUACACACAUACACACACACACUCACACUCACAUAGCUGCGCAUUGCACACUCAUACGUGCACACGAACAUCUCUUGGUGACCAAAGUUUAUUUAGUGAACAAGAAGAAAUAAAUGUGCAUUCUUCUAACAUUGUUUUGUGUUCAGUAACCGCGGAAGCGUACUACUUUCAAAAAAAAAAAAAACCAAGACAGCCCAGUAGAUGUUGAAACAUUCGUAGGAAAGUAUUUGGGAGAUGUGUAGUGGCAAUGUCCCCAGCCAUUUCUCGGGGAGGGGGCACCCAAAGAUGGGUAAAGGGAUGUGUGAGGAUUAGCUGGCUGUGUGCCUGGGGGUGCUGGAGCCCUGUAUCCGGUUCCCACACCUAAAACUAAAAACCCUCAAGAGAAGCAUCUUUCCUCUGUCUUUUACUGUACAUCUGUCUCUUUCGCUUUUGGUGGAAAGCUUCAGACAUACAAAUUAAGAUUAUGACAUCAGGUUAAGUGUCCAUCAACAAAUGACCAGAUAAAGAAAAUUCAGUAUAUAUUCAUAAUGAAUAGCCAUAAAAUGGAACAAACUUCGGCCAGUAAGAUGACCCAGUGAAUGGCACCCGACAGCAAGCCUGAUGACCUGGGUUUAAUCCCUCGACGCCCAAGGUGAAGGGAAGGGAGAGAACUGACUUCCACAAGUUGUCCUCUUGAGCUCCACCCAUGUGCCAUCAUGUGCACAUGCCACUCCCCACACACACAUACAAAUAAAUGUGGUAAGAAAACAUACACAAUAAAUAAAGUGUAAAUAAUCAGAUAAACAAAUGUAAUAAUAAUAAAAAACACUUUAAAAGUAUCAUUUGCAGGAAACAUAGAUAAGCUGAUAUAAUUAAGUGAAAAAAGCCAGGCUCAAAGAUGAAUAUUGGGAGCUGGGCGUGGUGGCGCACGCCUUUAAUCCCAGCACUUGGGAGGCAUAAGGCAGGUGAAUUUCUGAGUUCAAGGCCAGCCUGGUCUACAGAGUAAGUUCCAGGACAGCCAGGGCUGCACAGAGAAACCUUGUCUCAGAAA